UGGGGAAUUUUGGACAAUGGGCGAAAGCCUGAUCCAGCAAUGCCGCGUGUGUGAAGAAGGCCUUCGGGUUGUAAAGCACUUUUGUCCGGAAAGAAAUCCUUGGCUCUAAUACAGUCGGGGGAUGACGGUACCGGAAGAAUAAGCACCGGCUAACUACGUGCCAGCAGCCGCGGUAAUACGUAGGGUGCAAGCGUUAAUCGGAAUUACUGGGCGUAAAGCGUGCGCAGGCGGUUUGCUAAGGCCGAUGUGAAAUCCCCGGGCUCAACCUGGGAACUGCAUUGGUGACUGGCAGGCUAGAGUAUGGCAGAGGGGGGUAGAAUUCCACGUGUAGCAGUGAAAUGCGUAGAGAUGUGGAGGAAUACCGAUGGCGAAGGCAGCCCCCUGGGGCCAAUACUGACGCUCAUGCACGGAAGCGUGGGGAGCAAACAGGAUUAGAUACCCUGGUAGUCCACGCCCUAAACGAUGUCAACUAGUUGUUGGGGAUUCAUUUCCUUAGUAACGUAGCUAACGCGUGAAGUUGACCGCCUGGGGAGUACGGUCGCAAGAUUAAAACUCAAAUGAAUUG
rnacentral:rRNA from 1 species